GCCCAGCUAGCUCAGUCGGUAGAGCAUAAGGCUUCUGAUCUCAGGGUCGUGGGUUCGAACCCCACUUUGGGCG